AUUCUGUUUCCCUUAAUGAGAACCAGUUGGCCGGCUUCGAGUCCCAGAUUGCAGGUCAUGAGCUCGGACACAGCAUUGGAGCUCUCCACGAUAGCGAAGAGGGGUGUUCAGAUGCGAAUUUCUUUAUUAUGACCGCAUUUCUUGUCACGCCCGAUGCCAUACCCGAUUCCUUGCUUGGCCAAUCUAGUUCGUUUUUCACCAUGCAGUAUUGCCAAGUUCAACACAACUCUACAGACUGCAGCGUGCACUCGUCAAGAUUCAAACCUACCCACCAUAGACCGAGGACCAUCUGGGCAGCUCUUUGAUGCCGAUGCACAAUGCCGGUUUAUUGUGGGUUUAA